UUGAGCAACUUCUCUCUGGGUGCUUUGUCAAUACUAACAAAGUCCCUUGGAGGUCAAGUCUUGAGUAAUAUACGGUGUUCCAGCUCCCUGGUAAGGUACGUCUUUCAUCAAGCAAGCCCUAAGAUACGUCUUGAUCUCCUGUUUCUCAGGUAUCUUGGAGGAAAUUACCAACAUGAGUGUUGACCAAUUUAAAAUAAUCUUGGCUGGAGAUUUCUGGGAUCUCCUAGUAGUGUUGAUUUGGGUGGCUGCAAAUCUGCACACGGGACAGCUUGUGUUUAGGACCACAAGGGGAGAUACUCCCACUCGCAGUGCUGAGGAUUGAGACAGGCAGGCUUUGUUUGUCCUGCUUCGCAUCAAUCUAGGUAAUUUGAAGCUUCUUACUGAAGACAACAAGAAAACUGAACAAAAUAUAUAUGUAGCAUCUGGUUGACAGCACUACCAAAAGAACAAGGUACCAAAGAGUUAUCAGGCCAAAGCAAAGCAUUCCUGUCAGCUGAAAAAGCCCUUGUUGGAAUUUUCAAAUAGAAACCUCAUCCAAAGACUUUGCUUUCAUCUUAUUGGUCAACACAAAUUUCAAGGAACAUGGGAAUUUUUAUCUUUUUUUGAUGUGCACGUGAUCUGCCACGAUGUGAUUCUGUUUCUAAUGCAAUGGGAGAAUAAAUAUCCUAGUA